UGAGAAUCCCAGAAGAUUAUUUUGGGCUACCAAAAAUGAGACUUAAAGAUUGUGUGUAUGUUCUCACAACAGUGCUGAUCAUCUUGAUAUGGUAUUCCUCUAUCAACUGGUCAAAACUCCAAGAAGUUGCCAAACAGUCAUGUAAUGUACAUGAUGAAGUUAGUGAUUUUGUGACCGACUGUGACAAUCGAGGUCUGUUUAAGUCUCAUUUUGGUUGCUGUCCACAUAAACACUGCCCUGUCAACCACUUCCCCUUCCACCUUCACAGCGGUGUAGCCAAUGUGGUGGCUGCAAAAAUCUGCUUUAACAA